rnacentral:rRNA from 1 species
GUCUACAGCCAUACCACCCUGAACGCGCCCGAUCUCGUCUGAUCUCGGAAGCUAAGCAGGGUCGGGCCUGGUUAGUACUUGGAUGGGAGUUCAGUGUUUCUAAUGUUCUAAAUU